AACGAACGCUGGCGGCAGGUUUAACACAUGCAAGUCGAGCGCAUCGCAAGGUGAGCGGCGGACGGGUUAGUAACGCGUGGGAACGUGCCCUUUUCUUCGGUAUAGCUUCGGGAAACUGAAGGUAAUACCGGAUACGCCCUUCGGGGGAAAGAUUUAUCGGGGAAGGAUCGGCCCGCGUCUGAUUAGGUAGUUGGUGGGGUAAUGGCCUACCAAGCCGACGAUCAGUAGCUGGUUUGAGAGGAUGAUCAGCAACACUGGGACUGAGACACGGCCCAGACUCCUACGGGAGGCAGCAGUGGGGAAUCUCAGACAAUGGGCGCAAGCCUGAUCUAGCCAUGCCGCGUGGAUGAUGAAGGCCUUAGGGUCGUAAAGUCCUUUCGCUGGGGAAGAUAAUGACGGUACCCAGUAAAGAAACCCCGGCUAACUCCGUGCCAGCAGCCGCGGUAACAC
rnacentral:rRNA from 1 species